CGCAAGGUCCGGUCGAAAACUGAAGAAGAUCCGGUCAAAGAUGGGAGUUGGUGACGGAAAAUCUCACUGAUCGACGAAGGUACGGCAAGGAGAACAAGUGGGAGAGGAGAUCAAGCAGAGACAACUAUGAGCCUCGUGGCUGCCAAGAUCAUUACACUGUCGAGAUCAAGCCGCAAGAGCGAAAAUCCGAGGGAGUAAGAAAUCGGGAGAGGGAUCGUGUACCGAGGGGGCUUCGUUCUUUUUCUCGGAAGACGCGGGAGAGAGAGA
rnacentral:lncRNA from 1 species